rnacentral:rRNA from 1 species
CGCGGCCUAUCAGCUUGUUGGUGGGGUAAUGGCCUACCAAGGCGACGACGGGUAGCCGACCUGAGAGGGUGACCGGCCACACUGGGACUGAGACACGGCCCAGACUCCUACGGGAGGCAGCAGUGGGGAAUAUUGCACAAUGGGCGAAAGCCUGAUGCAGCGACGCCGCGUGAGGGAUGAAGGCCUUCGGGUUGUAAACCUCUUUCAGCAGGGACGAAGCGCAAGUGACGGUACCUGCAGAAGAAGCACCGGCUAACUACGUGCCAGCAGCCGCGGUAAUACGUAGGGUGCGAGCGUUGUCCGGAAUUACUGGGCGUAAAGAGUUCGUAGGCGGUUUGUCGCGUCGUUUGUGAAAACCCGGGGCUCAACUUCGGGCUUGCAGGCGAUACGGGCAGACUUGAGUGUUUCAGGGGAGACUGGAAUUCCUGGUGUAGCGGUGAAAUGCGCAGAUAUCAGGAGGAACACCGGUGGCGAAGGCGGGUCUCUGGGAAACAACUGACGCUGAGGAACGAAAGCGUGGGUAGCAAACAGGAUUAGAUACCCUGGUAGUCCACGCCGUAAACGGUGGGCGCUAGGUGUGGGUUCCUUCCACGGAAUCUGUGCCGUAGCUAACGCAUUAAGCGCCCCUCUGGGGAGUACGG